rnacentral:rRNA from 1 species
GAUGAACGCUGGCGGCGUGCCUAAUACAUGCAAGUCGAGCGAACGGACGAGAAGCUUGCUUCUCUGAUGUUAGCGGCGGACGGGUGAGUAACACGUGGAUAACCUACCUAUAAGACUGGGAUAACUUCGGGAAACCGUAGCUAAUACCGGAUAAUAUUUUGAACCGCAUGGUUCAAAAGUGAAAGACGGUCUUGCUGUCACUUAUAGAUGGAUCCGCGCUGCAUUAGCUAGUUGGUAAGGUAACGGCUUACCAAGGCAACGAUGCAUAGCCGACCUGAGAGGGUGAUCGGCCACACUGGAACUGGGACACGGUCCAGACUCCUACGGGAGGCAGCAGUAGGGAAUCUUCCGCAAUGGGCGAAAGCCUGACGGAGCAACGCCGCGUGAGUGAUGAAGGUCUUCGGAGCGUAAAACUCUGUUACUAGGGAAGAACAUAUGUGUAAGUAAAUGUGCACAUCUUGACGGUAACUAAUCAGAAAGCAACGGCUAACUACGUG